AUACGUAGGGGGCGAGCGUUGUCCGGAAUGAUUGGGCGUAAAGGGCGCGUAGGCGGCCCGGUAAGUCUGGAGUGAAAGCCCUGUUUUUAAGAUGGGAAUUGCUUUGGAUACUGUCGGGCUUGAGUGCAGGAGAGGGAAGUGGAAUUCCCCGUGUAGCGGUGAAAUGCGUAGAGAUUGGGAGGAACACCAGUGGCGAAGGCGACUUACUGGACUGUAACUGACGCUGAGGCGCGAAAGUGUGGGGAGCAAACAGGAUUAGAUACCCUGGUAGUCCACACUGUAAACGAUGAAUGCUAGGUGUAGGGGGUAUCGACCCCUUCUGUGCCGCAGUCAACACAAUAAGCAUUCCGCCUGGGGAGUACGGCCGCAAGGUUGAAACUCAAAGGAAUUGACGGGG
rnacentral:rRNA from 1 species